AGAGCGAACGCUGGCGGCAGGCCUAACACAUGCAAGUCGAACGGACCCUUCGGGGUUAGUGGCGGACGGGUGAGUAACACGUGGGAACGUGCCUUUAGGUUCGGAAUAGCUCCUGGAAACGGGUGGUAAUGCCGAAUGUGCCCUUCGGGGGGAAAGAUUUAUCGCCUUUAGAGCGGCCCGCGUCUGAUUAGCUUGUUGGUGAGGUAAUGGCUCACCAAGGCUACGAUCAGUAGCUGGUCUGAGAGGAUGACCAGCCACAUUGGGACUGAGACACGGCCCAAACUCCUACGGGAGGCAGCAGUGGGGAAUCUUGCGCAAUGGGCGAAAGCCUGACGCAGCCAUGCCGCGUGUAGUGAGUGAAGGUCUAGGGAUUAGUAAAUACUUUCGACCGGUGAAGAUAAUGACUGUAGCCGGAGAACGACGACCCGGCUAACUUCCGACGCCGAGCCAGCCCGAC
rnacentral:rRNA from 1 species